CUUUUAUGCUUUUGGCUCUCUUUGCCUCUGCAGCUCUCGGUCAGGCUCCGCGAGCAGCACCGACCGCUUCCCCGACUAAGUCACCUUCGGCUGCACCGGCUCCAAAAACUGCGACUCCAGCUCCUGCUCCAACUAUUCUAGCUCCGACUCAAGGACCACCUGCCUCGGCUCCUGCUCCUGCAACUACUGCUGCUGCUCCCCCGGCCGGAGCCCCCAACUUGAGUCCAGUUAGCUCACCGCCAUCUCCUUUGGCUCCUAGGACUGGUCCUUCAGUGGCUCU
rnacentral:lncRNA from 1 species